rnacentral:rRNA from 1 species
AUUGAACGCUGGCGGCAGGCCUAACACAUGCAAGUCGAGCGGAUGAAGGGAGCUUGCUCCUGGAUUCAGCGGCGGACGGGUGAGUAAUGCCUAGGAAUCUGCCUGGUAGUGGGGGAUAACGUCCGGAAACGGGCGCUAAUACCGCAUACGUCCUGAGGGAGAAAGUGGGGGAUCUUCGGACCUCACGCUAUCGGAUGAGCCUAGGUCGGAUUAGCUAGUUGGUGGGGUAAAGGCCUACCAAGGCGACGAUCCGUAACUGGUCUGAGAGGAUGAUCAGUCACACUGGAACUGAGACACGGUCCAGACUCCUACGGGAGGCAGCAGUGGGGAAUAUUGGACAAAGGGCGAAAGCCUGAUCCAGCCAUGCCGCGUGUGUGAAGAAGGUCUUCGGAUUGUAAAGCACUUUAAGUUGGGAGGAAGGGCAGUAAGUUAAUACCUUGCUGUUUUGACGUUACCAACAGAAUAAGCACCGGCUAACUUCGUG